AUUAAACGCUGGCGGCAUGCCUUACACAUGCAAGUCGAACGGCAGCACGGGGGCGACCCUGGUGGCGAGUGGCGGACGGGUGAGUAAAGCAUCGGAACGUGCCCUGGAAUGGGGGAUAACGUAGCGAAAGUUACGCUAAUACCGCAUAUUCUGUGAGCAGGAAAGCAGGGGAUCGCAAGACCUUGCGUUCUGGGAUCGGCCGAUGUCGGAUUAGCUAGUUGGUGGGGUAAAGGCCUACCAAGGCGACGAUCCGUAGCGGGUCUGAGAGGAUGAUCCGCCACACUGGGACUGAGACACGGCCCAGACUCCUACGGGAGGCAGCAGUGGGGAAUUUUGGACAAUGGGCGCAAGCCUGAUCCAGCCAUGCCGCGUGAGUGAAGAAGGCCUUCGGGUUGUAAAGCUCUUUCGGUGGGGAAGAAAUUGCACGGGCGAAUACCCUGUGUAGAUGACGGUACCUGGAGAAGAAGCACCGGCUAACUACGUGC
rnacentral:rRNA from 1 species